UACGGGGGGGGCAAGCGUUGUUCGGAAUUACUGGGCGUAAAGGGCUCGUAGGCGGCCAACUAAGUCGGACGUGAAAUCCCAAGGCUUAACCUUGGAACUGCGUCGGAUACUGGAUGGCUUGAAUUCGGGAGAGGGAUGCAGAAUUCCAGGUGUAGCGGUGAAAUGCGUAGAUAUCUGGAGGAAUACCGGUGGCGAAGGCGGCAUCCUGGACCGACAUUGACGCUGAGGAGCGAAAGCUAGGGGAGCAAACGGG
rnacentral:rRNA from 1 species